UACGAAGGGGGCUAGCGUUGCUCGGAAUUACUGGGCGUAAAGGGCGCGUAGGCGGAUAUCUAAGUUGGGGGUGAAAGCCCGGGGCUCAACCUCGGAAUAGCCUUCAAUACUGGAUAUCUUGAGUUCGGGAGAGGUGAGUGGAACUCCGAGUGUAGAGGUGAAAUUCGUAGAUAUUCGGAAGAACACCAAUAGCGAAGGCAGCUCGCUGGGACGGUACUGACGCUAAGGCGCGAAAGCGUGGGGAGCGAACAGG
rnacentral:rRNA from 1 species